UUGAAAACAAAACAUUUAUUCAUUUACUUCCGCUGCAGAUUUCUUGACUGCUGAAUUUCAUGAGAAGGGAUUGUUCAGGGAGGGACGUGGGGCUGAAGACCUGGAGAGGAGGUGGUGCUACCGCUGUUCAAAUCUGAGGGUGGUGGAGAUGGAGCCUUGGGGAGGAGCAGGUGCUGCCUUUUAAGUCUAUGAGAUUCGUUGAGCUGGAGGUCCAGGGAGGAGCCGGUGCUCCCACUGAUGUCUUAGGUUGUGGAGCUGAAGACAAUGAAGGAGCCAGUGUGGCUGUUCUGUGAGACUCGUGGAGCUGGAGAUCCAGGUGGGAGAGGUGUUUUAGCUCGGGGAAGAGCUGAUAUUCUACCUUGAGGGUCCUGCAGCUGCAGAUCCGGGGAGGAGCUGAUGUUCUAGUUUGAGUGUCAUGCAGCUGCAGACCCGGAGAGGAGCUGAUGUUGUAGUUUGAGUGUCAUGCAGCUGCAGACCUGGAGAGGAGCUGAUGUUCUAGAUUGAGGGUCGUGCAGCUGCAGACCUGGAGAGGAGCUGAUGUUCUAGAUUGAGGGUCGUGCACCUGCAGACCCGGGGAGGAGCUGAUGUUCUAGUUUGAGGGUCUCCCAGCUGCAGACCUGGAGAGGAGCUGAUGUUCUAGAUUGAGGGUCAUGCAGCUGCAGACCCGGAGAGGAGCUGAUGUUCUAGAUUGAGGGUCAUGCAGCUGCAGACCCGGAGAGGUGCUGAUGUUCUAGAUUGAGGGUCAUGCAGCUGCAGACCCGGAGAGGAGCUGAUGUUCUAGAUUGAGGGUCGUGCACCUGCAGACUCGGGGAGGAGCUGAUGUUCUAGAUUGAGUGUCAUGCAGCUGCAGACCCGGAGAGGAGCUGAUGUUCUAGAUUGAGGUUCGUGCACCUGCAGACCCGGGGAGGAGCUGAUGUUCUAGUUUGAGGGUCUCCCAGGUGCAGACCUGGAGAGGAGCUGAUGUUCUAGAUUGAGGGUCAUGCAGCUGCAGACCCGGAGAGGAGCUGAUGUUCUAGAUUGAGGGUCUCCCAGCUGCAGACCCGGAGAGGAGCUGAUGUUCUAGAUUGAGGGUCUUGCACCUGCAGACCCGGGGAGGAGCUGAUGUUCUAGUUUGAGGGUCGUGCAGCUGAAGACCUGUAGAGGAGCUGAUGUUCUAGUUUGAGGGUCUUGCAGCUGAAGACUUGGGGAGGAGCUGAUGUUGUUCGCGUUGAGGGUCUUUCAGUUGGAGACUCAGGGAGGAGCUGAUGUUCUAGAAUUAGGGUCAUAGAACUGGAGCCCUGGAGAGAAGGUAAUGUUCUAGUUUUAGGUUCUUGCAGCUGCAGACCCGGAGAGGAGCUGAUGUUCUAGAUUGAGGGUCAUGCAGCUGAAGACUCGGGGAGGAGCUGAUGUUCUAGUUUGAGGAUCUUGCAGCUGCAGACCUGUAGAGGAGCUGAUGUUCUAGAUUGAGGGUCGUGCAGCUGAAGACUUGGGGAGGAGCUUUAGUUGUUCGCAUUGAGGGUCUUUCAGUUGGAGACUCAGGGAGGAGCUGAUGUUCUAGAUUUAGGGUCACGGAACUGGAGACCUGGACAGAAGUUGAUGUUCUAGUUUGAGUGUCUAGCAGCUGCAGAUCCGGAGAGGAGCUGAUGUUCUCAUUUGAGGGUCUUGCAACUGCAGACCUGUAGAGGAGCUGAUGUUCUAGAUUGAGGGUCGUGCAGCUGCAGACCUGUAGAGGAGCUGAUGUUCUAGAUUGAGGGUCCUGCAGCUGAAGACUCGGGGUGGAGCUGAUGUUGUAGUUGGAGGGUCAUGCAGUUGAGGACUUCGGGAGGAGCUGAUGUUGUUCGCGUUGAGGGUCUUUCAGCUGGAGACUCAGGGAGGAGCUGACAAUCUUGAUUGAGGUUCACGGAGCUGGAGACCCGGACAGGAGCUGAUGUUCUAGCUAGUGGAUCUUCCAGCUGCAGACCCAGAGAGGAGCUGAUGUUCUAAUUUUAGGUUCUUGCAGCUGCAGACCUGGAGAGGAGCUGAUGUUCUAGAUAGAGGGUCAUGCAGCUGAAGACUCGGGGAGGAGCUGAUGUUGUAGUUUGAGGGUCAUGCAGUUGAGGACUUCAGGAGGAGCUGAUGUUGUUCGCGUUGAGGGUCUUUCAGCUGGGGACUCAGGGAGGAGCUGAUAAUCUUGAUUGAGGGUCAUGGAGCUGGAGACCCAGACAGGAUUUGAUGUUCUAGUUAGUGGAUCUUCCAGCUGCAGACCCAGGGAGGAGCUGAUGUUCUAGUUUGAGGGUCGUGCAGCUGAAGACCCGGGGAGGAGCUGAUGUUCUAGAUUGAGGGUCGUGGAGCUGCAGACCCGGAGAGGAGCUGAUGUUCUAGUUUGAGGGUCAUGCAGCUGGAGACCUGGAGAGGAGCUGAUGUUCUAGUUUGAGGUUCUUGUAGCUGCAGACCUGGAGAGGAGCUGAUGUUCUAGAUUGAGAGUCGUGCAGCUGUACACCUGGAGAGGAGCCAAUGUUCUAGAUUGAGACUCGUGCAGCUGCACACUUGGAGAGGAGCUGAUGUUCUAGAUUGAUGGUCUUGCAGCUGCAGACCUGGAGAGGAGCUGAUGUUCUAGUUUGAGGAUCUUGGAGCUGCAGAGCCGGAGAGGAGCUGAUGUUCUACUUUGAGGGUCAUGCAGCUGGAGACGUGGAGAGGAGCUGAUGUUCUAGUUUGAGGGUCAUGCAGGUGAAGACUCGGUGAGGAGCUGAUGUUCUACAUGGAGGGUCUUGCAGCUGCAGAACUGUAGGAGAACUGAUGUUCUAGUUUGAGGGUCUUGCAGCUGCAGACCUGGAGAGGAGCUGAUGUUCUAGUUUGAGGGUCUUGCAGCUGCAAACCUGGAGAGGAGCUGAUGUUCUAGAUUGAGGGUCAUGCAGCUGAAGACUCGGGGAGGAGCUGAUGUUCUAGAUUAAGGGUCAUGCAGCUGAAGACUCAGGGAGGAGCUGAGGUUCUAGUUUGAGGGUCAUGCAGCUGAAGACUCGGGAGGAGCUGAGAUUCUAGUUUGAGGGUCAUGCAGCAGAAGGCUCAGGGAGGAGCUGAUGUUCUAGAUUGAGGGCCCUACAGCUGCACACCUGAAGAGGAGUUGAUGUUCGAGAUUGAGGGUCGUGCAGCUGAAUACUCAGAGAGGAGCUGAUGUUAUAGUUUGAGGGCCCUACAGCUGAAGACCCGGAGAGUAUCUGAUCUUCGAGAUUGAGGGUCGUGCAGCUGAAGACUCCAGGAGGAGCUAAGGUGGUAAUUUGAGGGUCUUGCAGCUGCUGACUUGGGGAGGAGCUGAUGUUCUAGUUUGAGGGCCCUACAGUUGGAAAUCUGUACAGGAGCUGAUGUUCUAGUUUGAGGGUCGUGCAGGUGAAGACUCGGGGAGGAGCUGAUAUUCUAGUUUGAGGGCCGUGCAGCUAGAGAUGCAGACAGGAGCUGAUGUUGUAGUUUGAGGGUCGUACAGCUGAAGAUUCAGGGAGGAGCUGCUGAUGUAUUUUUAGGGUCAUGGAGCUGCAGACCCGGAGAGGAGCUGAUGUUAAAGAUUGAGGGUCAUGCAGCUGAAGACUCUGGGAGGAGCUGACGUUCUAAUUUGAGUUCCCUACAGGUGGACACCCAGAGAGGAGCUUAUGUUCUAGAUGAGGGUCAUACAGCAGAAGACUCGGGGAAGAGCUGAGGUUGUAGUUUGAGGGUCGUGCAGCUGGAGAACCAGACAGGAGCUGAUGUUGUAGAUUGAGCGUCGUGCAGCUGAAGACUCGGGGAGGAGCUGAUGUUGUUUGUUUUGAGGGUCUUUCAGCUGGAGACUCAGGGAGGAGCUGACGUUCUAGAUUGAGGGUCUUGCAGCUGCAGACCCGGAGAGGAACUGAUGUUCUAGAUUGAGGGUCACGCAGCUGAAGACUUGGGGAGAAGCUGAUGUUCUAACUUGAGGGUCGUGCAGCUGAGGACUCGGGGAGGAGCUGAUGUUGACGGCUGUGCAGGUGGAGAUCCGGCGGGGAGCUGAUGUUCUGGUUUGAGGGCCGGGGAGCUGAUGUUCCAGUUUGAUGGCCGUGCACCUGGAGACCCAGGGAGGAACAUCAAACUGGAACAUCUGCUCCCCGCAGUGCCUCCAGCUGCAUGGCUCCCAAACUGGAACAUUGGUUCCCACCCGGGUCUCCAGCUGCACGACCUGGUGGGGAGCCAGUGUUGCAGGUUGAGGACCGUGCAGCUGGAGACCCUGUGGGGAGCUGAUGUUCCUGUUUGAGAGCCGUGCAGCUGGAGACCCUGUGGGGAGCAGAUGUUCCUGUUUGAGAGCCGUGCAGCUGGAGACCCGGUGGGGAGCUGAUGUUGCAAGUUGAGGGCUGUGCACCUGGAGCCCCGGGGUGGAGCUGAUAUUCCAGUUUGAGGGUCGUGCAGCUGGCGAUCUGGUGGGGAGCUGAUGUUCCAGUUUGAGGGCCAUGCAGCUGGGGACCCGGCAGGGAGCUCAUGUUCCAGUUUGCAGGCAGUGCACCUGGAGACCCGGCGGGGAGCUGAUGUUCCAGUUUGAGGUCCGUGCAGCUGGAGAUCUGGUGGGGGAGCUGAUGUUCCAGUUUGAGGGCCCUGCAGCUGGAGACCCAUGGGGAUCUGAUGUUCCAGUUUGAGGGUGGUGCUGCUGGCGACCCAGGCGGGAGCUGAUGUUCUAGUUUUAGGGACCUACAGCUGGAGACCCGGGGAGGAGCUGAUGUUCCCUUUCGAGGGCUGUGCAGGUGGAGACCUGGGGAGGAACUGAUGUUGUUCUAAUUUGAGUGUGGUGCAGCUGGAGAUCCAGGGAUGAGAUGGCCCUGCGGUUCAAAUAUGAGGGUCCCGGAGCUGGACUCUACGUGAGGAACCAAUGCUGCCUCUGAUGUCUUAGGUUGUGGAGCUGGAAACUCGCGGAGGAGCUGGUAUUGGUGUUUCUAGUUGAGGGUUGUGGUAUUUCCAGGGUUUCACAAAGGCCAGA
rnacentral:lncRNA from 10 species